GCUCAGUUGGUAGAGUACAAGGCUCUUAAUCUUAUGGUCGUGGGUUCAAGCCCCAC
rnacentral:tRNA from 1 species